rnacentral:misc_RNA from 1 species
AAACGGUCGUACUCGAGCAGUAAUCCUUCGGAUUGCUUCCUUAAAGCAACUACAUUGGCUUCUGAAGUUGAAACAUCUUUUGUUUUUGAAUCAAGUUCCAAUUCCAACUGUUUGAGUUUUGUCUGCAGGGUGGUCCUCUCUUCUUCCAAUGCUUUGAUCUCCUCUGACUUGCUAACUUUCCCAUCCUCCAUCGCUCGGCUCUGCUUUUUGAUAGCUUCCAUGCCUUUUCUCCGUAGACGCAACUCUCUCAUAUAAUGAUGUAAUCUAUCAAUCAUAAGUGCCA